GGUGAGUUACGUUUGUAUAAAUCCCUUCCGUAUUUGACAGCUUUUCGACAGCAAAACUAUUUUAGAAAAUAUUUACAAAUAUUCAAACUUAUUUUUCAGAAAGUCAAGUUAGUUUUUCCUGGAUCAUUUAACACCAUACACAGGGAACUUCUAACAAAUUUCACGCUCAAGCUUCAGUGCAUAGAUUUCGUAGAACGUUCGAAUACUGAGAUCGACCCUAAUAAGCCAGUGAUGGUGUUAUGCAUGUGCAGCACAAGAGUGGAGGAUACCUGCAAUAUUGCAAUGGAAAAAAAUAAAGAUAAUUUAUUUUCAGAUGAACGCAAGGUUGUGUUGGUAGUGUUCUACAAGAUUAUUGGAAGUACUACAUUGAAGGAUGUCCAAAUGAUUGGCUACCAGCACAAGGGUGUAUACAAAACUGUUCAUGUUGGAUUUGAUGAUGACAACGGUGUAUAUAUUACCAAGAACGAUUCGAGUGCUCUAUGUUCGAUUUAACAAAACUUAAAAAUAUCUUAAAGAAGAUUUACAUCUUAAGUAAUGUACAAGAACUUUAAAGUGAAUUUUCGUGAUUUAAGAAAUAUUGUGCUAAAAAACUUCAUUUAAUCGCGCUUUAUGGUUUCAGAUAUAUUUUAAUUGUUUAACAUAUUUAUGUUUAAUGAAAUAUUGAAUGUAGAAUGUUGUAUAGUAAACAUGCGCUCUGCAAGAAAAAAAAUACAUCUUAAUUAAUGCAAAUAAAGAUGAGUGUUGACAA